rnacentral:tRNA from 1 species
GACCUACUUAACUCAGCGGUUAGAGUAUUGCUUUCAUACGGCGGGAGUCAUUGGUUCAAAUCCAAUAGUAGGUAGACCUUAUUAGAUACCGCGGUC